rnacentral:rRNA from 1 species
AGCGAACGCUGGCGGCAGGCUUAACACAUGCAAGUCGAGCGGGCAUCUUCGGGUGUCAGCGGCGGACGGGUGAGUAACGCGUGGGAACGUGCCUUCUGGUUCGGAAUAACUCAGGGAAACUUGAGCUAAUACCGGAUACGCCCUUUUGGGGAAAGGUUUACUGCCGGAAGAUCGGCCCGCGUCUGAUUAGCGAGUUGGUGGGGUAACAGCCUACCAAGGCGACGUUCAGUAGCUGGUCUGAGAGGAUGAUCAGCCACACUGGGACUGAGACACGGCCCAGACUCCUACGGGAGGCAGCAGUGGGGAAUAUUGGACAAUGGGGGCAACCCUGAUCCAGCCAUGCCGCGUGAGUGAUGAAGGCCUUAGGGUUGUAAAGCUCUUUUAUCCGGGACGAUAAUGACGGUACCGGAGGAAUAAGCCCCGGCUAACUUCGUGCCAGCAGCCGCCGUAA